UGCGAUACUAGCUCACCUGGAUAGAGCAACAGCCUUCUAAGCUGUAGGUAGGCCGUUCGAGUCGGCCGUGUCGCAG
rnacentral:tRNA from 1 species